CGGGGGGAACUAAUAGGCAACGGGGCGGGGGACGGGGGAGGGGUCCCCCGCCCCAACCCCGCCCUGUUGCCAUCCCUAACCAAAAUUGAUUGUUUUUUAUUUUUUAGGGAUUGAAAGUACUCCUUUUCGUUUUGAGGGACUAAAUUUUAACAUCGCUAAUAUAUGAGGGAUGAUUGGUGCAAUUUUCUAUUUUUUUGGGUCAAAAUCACAUUAGCUUUUACCGUGUGUAAUAUUUUGUGAAUAUUGUAUGUGUUGGACUAAAUGCAACGUGCUGCAGGGACAGCCCGAAAGUACCCAACCUAAAUCACAAUGCACAACAAAAUGGCCCAACUCUCAAGUGCCCAUAGUUUUCUUCGGCUUAUCCAAAUGCAGUACAUUUCCGCCUAACUUUUCCUUUUUUGGAAAAUGAUGAAUAUUGGCCCAAACCAAAGUUACACGGGUAGAAUUCUCAUAGUCUCAUACUAAAUAGUUUUAAAAUUUUAGGUUUACAAGGAGUAAUAUUCUAUAUACAUAUAGUAUAUAUAUUGUCAGUCGGUAUGUCAAUAGGUCAAUAGGUCAAUAGGUAGAGUUUGAGUUGGAUCACUAUAAUACUGCCCAGACCCACUAAAUUUAGUUAGAUUCAGAUCCAGAUUCAGAUCCAAACUCUUAUGGGUUUGAAAAAGUAAAUCCAGAUUUGGACUCUCGUGGGUUUGAGUAUCUAAUAGGAAUUUGUGAAUAUUUUUAUUAACAUACUAUGAGAAAUUAAAGCAAAAUAUUUUUAAAAUAUAUAGAAUUCAAAAAUAAUAUAAAUACCAUCCAAUUUUUAUUUUCAAAUAAUAAAUUUAAUAUUCAAGAUGUGAUGUUUUCUUAGGUUAAGAAUGUGAUGUUUGGACAUGGAAUCAUAGAAAAUCAGAUCCUAUCCAAACCCGUGACUCCCUUCUAGGGUCUGGGUCUGGGUCUAUGUAGGGUUUAAAUUUGAGAAAUUAAAUCCAAAUCCUACUCAAAUAUAUUGGGUCUCGAUUGAAUCUGAGUAAUACUUAAUCCAUUGACAUACUAAAUUAUCUACAUUGAAUGGAUGAGAGGUACACAAAAUUAAAAUUUUAAAGAAAAAAAAGAGAGAAGAUACCUCACAUAAAUAAGUAACAAUUAGGAAGCCUUAUAAUGAAUCUUCUAUUAUUACAGGUUGGUGUCCCAUAUGGCGAUAUCUUAAGAAAACUUAUCCGUAAUAAUUCAAUAAGGCCUCCCAUUAGCUGUACUCAGGAAAGUGCAUUAGAUUGAAAGCAAAGUAGUUAUAAGGUUGUGCAGCAAAAUUUUGUAUAGGUUGAAUGCAUAUUAUUGCGUAGAUUACUUUAUUUGAGCAGAGAAAUUAGAUAAUAAAGAAUCUAUUAUGCACUUAUUUAGAAUAUGUGACUACUUUAGUUUCUCUUUUUAGUCAUCCAUAACAACUUGUAUAAAAAGAAUCAAGUUCACGAGCCUAUGACUUAUAAGUAGAAGGUUUUAGGUUCAAAACAUUUCACUUUAAAAAAAAAAAGAUUUGAAAAGUGGAGAGAGGGAGAGAGGAAUUGGAAUCUAGAAUUUAGAGAUUUUGAAAUCUCAACUUUAUUCACUAGAUCGAAACCUCGUAAGUAGAAAAUUCAUUAAUGGGAGUGUUUGGAUAGCACAUAUAUCUCAAAUAAUAUUUCACUUACAUCAUAAAGACAUUUCUCAAUUCACCUUUUUAUAUUCUCAAUUACCUUUUUAUCUCACAUAUAUCAUAUCACAAAAAGUGCUACAGUAAUUAUUCCAGAUAAUAUUUCAAGUAAUACUCUAUCACAUCACAAAUUAUAUUGUUUGACAGAUCUGCAAAUUAAAAUCUUGAGUGUAUGAAUAGCUCAAGACAAUUGUAGAAGAGAAUCAAGUAGCUUAAUUUUGACAUGGGAUACCAUUUUUGUUUGACCUAUGUGAUAGCCAAAACAGUGUACGUAAAAGAAGAAAAAGAAACGAGGGGGUCGUAAAGAUUAAUGAAAUAACCUAAUGUAGCUCCAUGGGAGUCAGAAUUAUUGGCAGGAUUCCAGAACAAUAUGAUUAGCCUUUCUGCAAAUAGCUCAUGUGUCAUCAUCAUGCACACAACUACCAUCGAUAAGUGGACAAAGCAAGAGGACAAGCUUCUGCUUCCUGGAGACAAGAGGGGCAUUCUUUCAGUUCUUUAAUACUUUCUGUUUCUUUGUUUUUUUUAUUCGUCUUCUUGAAUGGAAUGGAUAAUUAAAUGUGGUUGGUAAUUGCUUUGAGAGAGAUUUUAAGUUACACCAAAUCUCUCGUGAAUGUUGAAAUUUGGUGCCUAGACAGAAUUCUCCUAAUCAGUGAACUGAUUUAUGUUUAGUUGUCAGUCACAAGGCCCCCUUUUGUUAGCACAUAAAAUCGCACAACCGACGAUAUUUGACACAUAUAAAAAUAUAUUAAAAAAAAAAGAAGUUUAAUAAUCACAAGUAUAUAAAAAAAUAUUUGUCUCUCAUAUUGAGAUCGACCUUAACUUCAGGUAAAAUUAGUUUUACAAACACCAAAACUUUCAUUAGUCUUUCCUAAUUUUUUUCUCAUUAGGAAACUGCUAAAUAAUUACUCUAUAUGAAACAAGUAGACUGCUAAAACUGGACUGUACUUGAACUUCUUCUCUCCUUCCAAUAUUAUUAACUACCUUGCAUGAUUUCUCAUAGUUUUGGAAGAGUUUUUAGAGAGAAGCAAGGAUCAUGGGUGACUGGAUAUUAUGACAGAAUUGGUACUACAACAGCCUUGUAGUUAAGCUUUGGAGAAAGAUAAAGGCAUUUUUCAAGAUACUGUAAAUAUGAAGCUCCAUGUCGUGUUAGUGGCUUGGUGGAUCAUUAUAGAGUGUUAACCCAGAAUAUGCAGACAUUAUAAGGGAGGAAACAAAUUGUGUUAAUUUGUAGCAUAUGUAGCAGCGAAAUCUAACCCUUAAUUCAUUAUAUAUGAGCAAACUUCCCAUUGAUAAAACCAGUCAAUUAUUUUUACAUUUGUCAUUAGUUGCUUUUGUAUUAUCAAUAGUAACAGUUGUUUUGGUCCUGUUGGCUUUAUGCCCUUUCACAAGUCAAGAGCUAGCAACCCAAGAAAGUAAUAUUUUGUCAUUUGAUAGUAACAAACAUUCACGUUCUACAUAUAAACAAAAGGAGACAAAGAAAAACAAUUAUCAAUUCUUCUGUAAAUUUUGAAUGUAGAGUCAGUUAAUAAUUAACAUAGAGGUGAAUGUGAUGAUGUCUUGAGCCACGAAUUCCAGAUCCUGUUGCUCUGAUUUUGGUGACCCGCAAAUUUUGAAUGUUGCCCACAGGCUUGCAUAUGGACAGAUAGUAGUAUAGUACAUGAAAUGAAUUCUAUUCUAGUACACGUCCCGUGAAACCGAAAUUGUUAUAGACCUCUUGUUUCUAGUCCUGUCCAUUUCAGGCACUAAACUAAAUUGUUUUUUACUGCUUCCAUCAGAUUCAGGGAUUUGACGAAAGAUUUAAAAUUUUUUCAUAUUGUAUAUGUAAAUUGGGACGUAUUUGGAUUUUUUAAAAAGUAUUUAAAUAAUUGGUGAAUCGCCAAAUCCAAAUACUUUUCAAGUAAUUCAAACAAUUUAAAAGAAUUUGAGAGAAUCUUAAAUUCUUCAUAGAAUAUCUCAAUUCAAGCGCAACGUUAUUUAUUUAUUUAUUACUAAGAUUACAAGUGGCUCAGGAAUGUUGAGACCUAUACAAGCCUAUUAAAACUCAACGAUAUUGAGGGUGUCCAAAAUUAAUUAUAGCACCAUAAAUUUUUAAUAAACUAUAAGUAAUAUUUACCUACACAAAUCAUUCUUGCAAUGUACAAUUACAUUUUCUUGAAUUUAAAGUAAAUCCUGGCUUUGGAAACACUUGGAUGUGGGAGAUCUGUCUAUAAAUCAGUUUCAACCACCCAUAUAUCCAAUUUUUUCUUAGUGGUAAAAGAACAAAAGUCUAUUACUCAAAGCUAGAAGAAUUUGAUACACGGUUAAUCUACUAAACACAUCAAGAUCAUGUUAAAAAUAUAUUCCUAAAAUCUAUAUACCUCCUUAUUACUACAAUAUACAACUUCAAAAAUACAUGGCAUAAGAAAGUCUUCAAUGAAUGACCUUUCGCAUGUUUAAAUUCUUUUUUUUUUUUAAGGUAGCUUAUUUAGUAAAAAAAAAAAAAAAGGGAAUGCUAGCUUUAGUAUUUAUAUUAAAAGGUACAAGUAUUUUACUCAUAGAAUUUGGAAGACAAGUGUUGAAUUUUAAUUCCUUUUUAAUUUCUUAAGACACAAAAACUCCAAGCAUCAAAUCCUUCUGUGAAAGUAAGGGUAUAAGUUGAAUCUAUCUCAGGACUUUUCAAGAAAAAACACAGCCACAUAGAAAUCCCCGGCUUGGGCUACCAAAAACACAAUAUCCUUUUUCUUUUUCUUUUUCUUUUUUUUUUUUUGUAAAAAGAGAAAACACAAUAUCCUUUUGCAGGUACGAAGUCUCCGUCUUUGCAUGAUGGAAUAAUGCAGAUGGGAUACCUGAUAAAUUCCAACACUAGGGCCAACAAAAAGGGAAAUAAUGCCAAAAACCCUGUUUAAAAUUGCUUGGGGACAACAAGUCUAGUCGAUUUUGCAUGAGUUUUGGACCUACCAUGUGGUGCGGUUGACUGCCUGAUAAUGCAAGGCACGUUUAAUUCUCAAAUACAUGAAAAUUACGCAGUCCUUUUUGAAAUAAAGAUCUAGCUAUAGCUACUUUGACAACUUGAACACAAACUUCUUGAUUUUGGGAAAAUUUUAACUCAAGGAGGGAAAGUAUGGAAGAGUUUUCCAACAAAGAUUAUAAUUACUGGAAACAGAAAAAAGACAGAACAAAAAAAAAAGAGCCCUUUAAUUAGUAGCUUUACAUCAAUGAGUAUAUUGAAGAAAUUAAAGAGAGUUGUCCUACCUCUAAAGUCUCAUUCACUCAAUGAUCUUUUUGCUUGAAGCAUUUCCUGCCACAAACCAACAGGAAGUCAUAAAGGAAUCCAUUAGGACUUGGGGCAAAAAAUACAGGAAAAAUAAAUCCUGUCAUGUGUCUUUUAAAAGUUUGAGUUCUCUGAUGUUGACUCAUCUAUAUAAACCCGCAAACCCUCAUAUUUUACAAUAUUUAUUAACUCAAGAUUAAUCAAAUUCUUUGGAUGAAUUAUUAUGUUUUGCCCUCCAGAGAUCUCAAUUUAUUUCAAGACUUUAAUAAACUACUAUAAUUUAUUAAUCUGCAUGUGGUGCUUCAAAAAUAGGUACAAGCUUUCAAUUUAGCCUAACCAUCUUUAGAUGUUACCCUCAUCUUCUUCCAUAUUUGAUGAUUGAUGGAGAUCCUUCAUUUCUAGUCACAUGUGAUUACAUACUGCACCUUGACUUAUCAUUUGAUAGUUAAUGAUGUGACUAUCAACAUACAGCAAGAUAUGAUCAAUUUGUACAAGCUUUAAAGCUAAACAGCCUACUUCCAUUUAAUAUAGGGUAUUGUGCAUACAAUUACCUUCUUGUGCACCCUUUGAACAUUUUUAUAUUCAAAUGACAAGCUUGUAUUUUUGGGCAAAAUACAGUAUAAAAGUGUGUAUGAAACUAAAAAACAUGUGUAAGUAUAAUUAUCCUUUAGUAUAUUGUUGAGAAUAAUUACAAUAAAGUUGUAAACAUGAACUCCGAUUUACUUAAGGAAGGAAUCAGAAGAAGAUAUCACACUGACGUUUGAGAAGUUGUCAUCUCCUUAAUAAAAAAUUAUCAAGCUUUUACCCUAAUGAACAAUCUCAAUACCCUUCGACUGCUUCUAGCAUACUGCUCAUUCGAGAUUUUAGCACCUUUGGAUUUACUUUUUUUUUUUUAACAAAAAUACCUACUAAUUUUCUAUUCUUGGAAUUGAGUUAAAUAUGAAACUCGUCAUUCUCCAUUCAUACCAUUAUACAAGUUUUAGGGUGCGUUUGAUAAAAUUGAAGUUUAAAAACUAAAAUCUGAAAUCUAAAUCUAUUAAAUUAUUGAAUAUUAAAUGUUAAAUCAAAUACAUUUGAGUGUAUAUCACAUUCGGUGAUAAGUGAAUAGGUUAUCACUUAUUUUUUGAAGCAAGUUUUGCUUAGAAAAUUUAAUGUCACUUAAUUAAUUUAGAUGUUCAAUUUUUUAUUAUCAAACGUAUCUAAAUAUAUUAAGAUCUAAAUUCAUUAAGUUUAAGUACUAAAUUUGGUUAUCAAAUUGGGCCUUAAUCAUAUUAAUGUAAGUCAUUAAGGUAUGAAAAGAUUAAGGAUUGACAAGUCUUAAUCACAAUGACCCAAAAAUUUUUUUUUCUUUUUUCUAGUGGGUAAUGCUCCAAGUAUUUAAUUCAUGAAACUGAAUAAUUUGGGAAUCGAUGCCUGUGGAUUUGGUCCUUUGCUCUUGUUUCUCUCAUGCAUAAUAUGUUUAUAUGUAUACGUGAUUUGUAUACUUAUUUUGGAAUUUCAAACUUAUAUCAAGUGAAAUAUUAUAAAUUGUAAGUGAAAUUGUCAUAGAAUCACGAUGCUAAUAAAAGUUCUACUCUGGCAUCUAAAUGUGGAACCAAAUGGUAACAGACAGUUAUAGGGUUGUCAACAUCUAAUAGUAACAAACAUUAAAAAGGUUGUCAACAUUUAUUAGAAACAAAUAGUAAUAGUGUUGUCAACAUCUAAUCGUAACAGUAAAAGGGUUGUCAUCAACAUUAAAAGGGUUGUUAACAUUUGUUAGUAACAUACUAAUAGUAAGUUGGUUUCUUGGACAAUCAACAAUCAAUGAAAUAUGGGACAAAACAUCAAUAGGAAAAUUUGUUAGUUCUCCAAACACAAAGGGUGGUUGAAAGAUAAUGUUUUGGGUAAUCAUUUCUUCUUUUAAUUUUUGGGAAUCAUUUUCCCUGUUUGGAAUUCAAGUUUUUUGGCAAGUUUGUCUGCUACAAGUUUUUUAAAAACUUUAACUACAGUAACUUCAAAAAAAAUUUCAAAGUUUUUAAACUAUACACUUCAAAAUAUUCAAAAAAAACACACUUUAAAAAUUUUUUUAAAAACUUCUACAGUAAACUACAUUAAAGUUUUAGACAAACAUCCAAAAAACUCGCCGAACGGGGUAAUUGUCAUUGGAGUUGCAGCAUGUCAAAAGAUUAUCAAGUUUUGUACAUCAUCCUUUAAUGCUAGUUUUAGUGUGCUGCUAAAAAAUAGGUAAAAACAUUUAACAUGACAAUUAAUGGUAAUUGCAUCCGUCCAACAUAUGUCUAGCAGUAGGAAAGGAGACUAGUCCUUGACAAUGGUAAUACCUAAUAAAUUCGAUAAUCAACAAUAAAGGUUAUUCAUUUUCUAAAUGAAAAUUGAAAGAUACAUGUUGUAUAAUGUGCGUCUGAUUACCAACUGUUUCUAUUUGUUUCUAGAGGGAAUAAUAAUUUUCACAAAUCAUGUACUCAUUUUUCUUGGCUUAAAUCAUAAUUCAAAACUGAUCUCCCUCUUUACUAAAUAACCACAAAUAAGUUUUAAUUCAGCAAAUUAAGAGGCAUAAAAAGGUUGAAGGGCAUUUCACAAUAAUGUCAUCAUGAUUGGUUGGUAGUAAUCUUAUUGCUAGUUCAAAAUUACCAACUAUUAUGUCAUUUAUAGCGUUACAAAACUUCCUUACGGUAGGUACAUCAUUCACGUUUGGAAACUAUUAUAUAUGCACUCAUUUAUUUGUUAAUGACACUGUUCUUUUCUUCUUCUUCUUUUUUUUCCAAUCAUGUGAGUUAGAUACAUAUUACUCUUAUUCUUCACUUCACUUAUGAAAGUAUGAAUAUCUUCAUCGUUCACAUGUGUAAAAAAAGUAAAGGGAUGUGGUAUUAAAGUAACAAAUAUGAGAGUGAUAUUAUCAAUUUCCCGUGAUCUAUCUUUGCAACAUUAUUUAGUAAGAAUACAUAUCCUGCUAUUUUGACUCUAUAGCAUAAUAAUGAUAAGACUUGGGAAAGGAUAACAGCCAACAAUGCUCCAAAAAAAAAAAAAAUACAAGAACGCAAAUAAGGUCAAGUUUUAGCUUAAAAAUAGAGAAGCACUUAAUAUAAAAAAUGAAAAAGAGCUUAAGGUUUACAUAGAAAAAUCAUAAAGGAUUUUUGCUGUACUUAACCCUUUCCGUAUUUUCUUGAUAGCCAGUCACGUUAGGAGGCGCAUGCCAUCGAGAAUGUUAAGAACAUCAAAGUACUAAAACAGCUAGCUCAUACAAACUUAACUUUUCUUAAGUCAUAAACAAGGUGGUCCGAUCCCUACUUGUUGGAAGAACAAACAAUAUUGUCUCCAAGAUUCCAAGUCACAUCUAUAUCCACUUUAAUCAUGGUUACAAAACUCGACUGUUAAUGAAUCAUUAUAGACAAUAAGUUCUGCAAUUCAACCUACCAAUUGCUCCCCACCCACAUGUUUAAACAAUCUAAAAGUUGAACAUAAACUUUGUCAAUUCAUCAUUUGAAAGCAUGUUGUUAGCCCCACAACACCUUAGGUGAAACCAAUCUCUUUUAAACUGUUCACCUAAUCCCUUUUUAAGAUACAUAUAGGAUUUUGCUCAACUUAGUUAAAUUUACAACUAUUUUUAUAGUUCCCUUUUCUUCGAUAUUUGUGAGUUAGCCAGUUAGGUGGUUUCUCAAUUCUGUCAAAUUGCAUUCAUCAGUACUGAUUUGCAUUCUUGACCCCUGAAAUUCAUCCUAAAAGAUGAACAAUAAUGCUAGCAAGGUUGUGAUUCAGACAAUAAACUACAUUUAAUAAAGUUUUUCAUAUCGUUUUCUAUUCAAGUGUAAUUAUUAUCCACCAUUUUUCUUUUUAAUUCAACUAACAGAAAAAGAUUAGUUUAGAUGAGGCUUACACGUGUUAAACCACUUUUUGCUAAGCUCUUUUUUUAAGAGAAUAAUGAUCAUUUCUACCUCUUUUUUAUAUCAAAUUGGUUAUCCGCACAUUAUCAUAAAUUAAAAAUUAAUUAGGUGAACUAAUAUCUACUAGAAAUUAGUUGAAAUAGCAUUAACCAUUCAAUAGUUUAGUCUAACACACGCAAAAGUGCAAGUUUUCCUUGUACACUAAACAUUCUUCACUUGAGUGUAAUCAUGAGAAUAUAGAACCCAAUGUCUUAAAGCACUUAUCUCCAACUGAUAUCAUAAUGAAGCUGUGGAUUAAGUUUUGGCAAGGGAAUUUUAGGUUUAGUAAAAGACCAUCAAGUUUAUGCUUUAAGUGCAAAGAGUAAAAAUGCAAUUUGGUUUCUGCUUUUAAUUUUGGCGGGUGUAGUUGUGGGAGGGGACCGUGUUAAAUGACUUCGAGUUGUUGACCACCAUUUUAGAGAAGAAAUUGAUUUUUCUCCUUUUCUCUUUUCAUUGCCAUAUAGGGUAAUUAGGGUCAUGCCUAUUGAUGUCUGUUAUUGUUCUUAGAAGAUAGAGAGACUAUUUACUAGUAUUUAUUGUCAAACACUCAAACCCAACUGGCAAACCCCAACAGACUGCAAAAGAAUUUAUGCAGGACAUUGUUUUUUAUAACCAGCACUCCAACAUCAAUAAUUAUUCAUUGAUAGUGUACCAAACUAUAAUAUAUAUUGAUAUGUGUGUUUUAUAUGUAGGGUUCUACUAUUUCAUGCUCUAAGGGCAGACGAUAAGAAAUGCGUCUAAUAUAACAAUUCUUUUUUAUAUAUAAAGAACAAGUCUUUUGCAGAAAUAUUGUAUACAAUUCAAAGGAAAAAAAUGGUGAUUUUAAAAAUUGUUAAUAAUGGGUCCAGUCCUUUUAUUUGAUAUGCUUAUCACUUUCCUUAAGACAACAAAUAAAAAAAUUCUGCAUAUACAUGCGUCUGUAUCUAUUAAAGUAUGUACGUGUAGGUGUAUAGACGUAUACAUAAACAAAUACACACACGAAUGAACAUAUAUACAGAUGUGUAUAUAUAUAUAUAUAUAUAUAUAUAUAUAUACACGUAACACCUACACAUACUCACACCCAUUUUGUUUUAAUCAUUUUAAUACGGAUAAAUUAAGGUGUAAUUCUGAAUGUACGAGUAUUCAACAACUAUAAUUACUGUCUAACAAAAAUUAUGAUCGAUACCAUAUUCUAAAGCAAUUAGCAAUACUGCAAAGAACUAAAUGUGUACAUGAUUUAUGCAAAACAACCACUUUUUUUGGCGCAAAAGAGAUUUAUAGUCUUACUCCUAGGAGGGAAAAAAAAAAGGGCAGGACUCAUGAGUCAGAUUAGAGCUAACUAUUAUGCCUAUCAAUUAAGCAUGAUCUUAAGAUGCAAAACAACCGCUUUGACUAGAGGCGUCAAAAUGGGUGACUUGGGUGGAUUUGGGUUGGAUAAAAUGGGUAAUGGGUAUAAGUGAGUCAACCCAUUUAUACCCAUUUAAUUAGAUGGAUAUAAAUGGGUAAGUCAAAAAAUGAAUUGAGUAACCCAAUGACCUAUUUAUAACCCAUUUAUUUUAACUUUUUGUAAACUCAUUUAAAUUCAUUUUUGCAAACUAAGUUAUCAAUUUAUACCACUCUUUGUACCCAUCAUUAGUUUUAAAUACUUACUUAUAAUGCUCAAUAAGCCUAAUUACCAAUUUUUUUCCAUUUAUACUCUAUGUCGCAAAAUUACAUAUUAUUUAAUAAUUGAAUAAUAAGAAUAUAAGAAUUUGAACUAAGUACUCUAAAAGUUAAUAUAAAAGCUUAAUUCAAAAAUUUUGAACCCCUAACAUUUUUUUCAUAUAUAAAUUUAAAAUUUCAUUUUAGAAAGAUAAGAAAAGAGAUUAAAACUUAUCAUAAAGUGGUAAUGCUAAAAAAUGAACAAGUUAACAAACUAAGAGAAAAUAAAAUAAUAAGAUAAAACCAACAAAUAAUAAUAAUAAUGAAACAAAAGUAGUUAACAUCUUGACAAAAUGAAAAAUCUGAAAAAAAAAAUAGGUGGGGGAAUAUAAGAGACUUGGGGGAAGAGAAUUCUAAAUGGGUUAAUUGGGUUUGAUGGGUUACCCAAUAAUACCCAUUUAUUAAAUGAGUAUUAUUAGGUAACCCAUUUAUACUCAUAUAUAAAAAUUUAAGAUACUCAUACCCAUUUAUUCAUGGACGGGUAUGGGUAAAUUUAGUUAAGUGGGUUGGUUUGCCACCUACAGCUUUGGCAUCCAUUAAUGAUGACUUUACCUUGACUGAGGUUCUUAACAUAUCUUUUCGAAAGAAGGCACAAAAUAAAGGGCUCAUUCACUAAGUACAUAUACGUAUACAUAAAAAUAAUACUCCAUGUAAACAUAUUUAAAUGUGUUUAUACUCCCCAUGAUAAUCAAUUCUUGAGCACUUUUUAGCUUUCACACUUCUGAUAUGGAGAUUGCCUCUUUUCUAGAUUACGUGAAGACAACCUGAAUUAUACCAUUAACCACACAUCCUAAUAAAGCUGCCUAGCUGGAAUUGUUGAUGAUAACUUUUAAUGUUUAUCAGAUUUUUUUUUUGAAACAGUAAAAGAUUAGUUUUCCUACUUCUAAUUUUCAUAACCUGAAUGAUAUUUGAUGGGUUUUCCACAUUGUACUCUAAGAUCCACCAUGGACAAAUAAUUGCAGCAUGCUCGACUUCACGACGCAAACCGCUUCUUGGAUCCCUUUUAAGGUGGCUGAUGGAAUGAAAUGACUGGCAAUCGAGUAGUCUGACAUUAGAAAUAAUUUGUAUAAUGUUAAGUCUGUUCAAAAUAAUGAUGAAUAAAUUCUUAAUUGCCGAUAUAUAAACCCAGAUUUGUGGCACCCAAUUAACAUUUCAGGGUUAGGAUAAUAUUAAUCUGAAUAUAAUAUAAUUUAGUUUGACAUAAUUUAAGGUUUGGUUACUAGAAAGUAAUUACAAGAAUUUUUUUGGGUAACUUUUUUCAUUUCAAUUGCUAUUAUUCAUGGGUAGACUUUGGUCUAUGAGUCCACUAGUAGACCAUAUAAUUCAUACAAUAGUUAUGUGAUUUCUUUUUAUAUUAUCAUAAAUCACUAACUACCACUUUUCUUAUAUUAUCAUGCCAAUCUGACUAUUAUAUAUGUAUGUAUAUAUAUAUCACAUGUCUACAUAUAGUAGACCUAGCCUAUACAUAUUAUUUUCACAGAUUAAUUUUUUCUACAUCGAUAGACGAUAGUGUAUAUAUAUUAUCAAUUUUGGAUGAAUGACAAUAAUGUUAAAAUUUGAAUUUAAGAUCUAACUUUUACACAUAUAUCAUGAAUUCAAUGGUGAUAGUGUAUACACUCUCAAUGUACAGAAAAUUUACUCUAUUUUUGGAUCUUGGGACAAUUUCUUUGAUAUUUCAUCCAUACAUAUUGUUCGAUAAAACAUGUAAGACAAAUGGGGAUAAAACAUCAUUCUUGUAUCCUUUAAAUUAUAUGUUAGAGAAAAUAAUUUAUUAUUUAGUUCAACAAUUUUCCCUAUCAACUUUGACAAAUUAAUAUUCUCAUCUUUAACAUGCAAAACAUUAUCAACUGAAUAUGGAUACCCGCAACUAUUUCCUCGUUACAAAACACAUAACAAACAAAAAAAAAGAAAUCCCUCCCUUUAAUUAAAGAAAAAAGUUAACUCAGUAUCCUAUCACCCUAGAACCUAGUAAAUUUUUUCUUUUUCUUUUUCGUUUUCAUUUAAAAAAUGAUAAAGAUUCCUAAAAUGAAGUAAAAAGCAUAAAAGUGGAUAAAUUUUUGUUUGCUGAAUAAAAAUUUCUUCAUUUUAUACUACUUAUAAUCUUUUUUAACACGCUAAUUUCUCAUUCACACGUGACGUGCAUUUAGAUUGUAAGUGUAAAACGUUUUUUUUUUUUUAAAUCCUCUCAUCCUUCCUCGCACUCUUCCCACUCUCAACUGGGAAUUUGAACAUUGAACUUGAUUGCAAGAAUGACUCUAAGAACCUGACCAUUGCACCGAUUUUAGUGGUUGUAAAAAAGCUUUUAAUAUUCUUUUCAUUCUUCCUUUCUUUGACGUGGACAAAUAUCACGUGUCAUCUCACGUGCGAAAACCCUCUUCUUGGAGGUGUCGAAAUUAUCGUUGUUGAAAGCGGUAUGUCAGCAAUGGAAGACAAUAAUCUAUUUGGGUUGACGUAACCAGAAGUGGCAUUUCCGUAGAUACGUCUGUAACGGUGUCGGAUUCCGUUAACCAUAAAUAACCGCAAAACACGGCCCGCCAAAAUUGGUUAAUGGUGUUUCGCACGCUCAUCUCCUCACGCGCCAUUCAACCCAUCGAUAAUCGCGCGGAGUAGAGCUGUAAGUGGGACCCACAGGAGUCGCGAGUGGGGACAGCGCGUGGAGGCGGCAGGAGUCGCUUUUAACUAUUGAACCGUGACUUUUUAACAGAUUUACAAUGAUGAGUUGAGAGAAUUUUCUCUGAAUUGUUUCUUAGGACCAUUACAUAUUCACAUGACAAUAUGACAUAUGCAAAUUUUGUUGCUAUUUCCACUCCAAGGAUAUUUAUAUACACCCAAGUCUAAACAAAAUGACAUAUAGAAAUGUUGUGGCUAAACUCAAGAUUUUGGAACUUAAUUUGGAACAAAAAUGUAUGGGAGAAUUUGAGGAAAAAAACUAAUAGAGGAUGGGAAAUUAAGUAGUUUCAAAAAUGAGAUGAAAUCAAUUAUUUAAGUAACAUUUUGUCCUGAAAGACAUAUGACUUAAAUGAUAUAAACAAACUAAUAAAUAAUUCACUUUCUUGAUUUUAGAGAUUAUCAUGUUUGUGCCUAUUGUUUAAGAAUGUUGUAAUUUAGAGUCAUUUUUAAUUUAGAGUUAUUUUUAAUAGGUGCACUUUUACUUUAAUAUGUCCGAAUAGAACCUUUUAAGUACAUCGAAUUUCUCAUUUAUAUUGAAGAUGGAUUUAUGUGCAUGUUUUGAAUAAGGGUAUCUCAAAGAACGAAGAUAAUUAAUAUGAUCAAUGCUAUAUUUGUAGCUUUAUAAAUUUCUAGAUUGACAAUGAAAAAAAUGAAAUCUUAAACUUGGUUUGAGAAAAAGCUUCACCACAAGUCAUAUUGAUCGUAGACAAUUACGAUCUGAGUUUGAAUUAUGGAUUAUACAUAACAAAUUCUAUUAUUCAACGUAGAGUUUUUUGUGAUGCAAUGUAUAUUAGACAAAAAAAAUUAGUUAAAAAAUGGGUUAAAAAAUGUGUUUAAUUCAUAAUAUAAAGAUAUUUUCCCAACAACAACUUGUCCAAAUGCACAUUUUUUUAUUUACUUAUUAUAUGUAUUCACCGCUAAAGUAAAUACAUGAUUUCUACUAAUUAUUUUUCUGAAGAACAAAGCAAAAAAGAUCGUUGACAAAUGCAUGUUUAGUGUUUAGUACUCUAUAUUUAUUAUCUACCAACAAGGUCUAGAUUGUAAUUUUAUUGAAGUUUUUAUAGAAAAUAUAUUGUAGUGAUUUGAUAUAUAUAUAUCUACAUAUAUGUAUAUAUAUAUAUAUAAAGUAAAAAGUGAUUAAAAUAUGUAUUCACGGAAAUGUAGAGAUUUUUUUUAUAGAAAAUCUUUUUCAAACCAGGCCCGUGCGAGGUUACUUACCAUGGGCCUAAUUUACGUUUACUAUAAAGCUUUUUAUUUUGGGACUUGCUAAAUGCACCUCCUUUUUUUUUUUUUUGUUUGAUAAUUGCUAAAUGCACUUCCAAGAAGGUCAAAUGUAAAACAUCAUUCUUGUCUACAUGUCCCAUAUGUUUACAUGAAGAAAUGGAUACAAGAAAAAUGAAAAGGGCAAAAAAUGGGACUGGGAAACAAACAUGAGAGAGAUUAGUUUGGUCUGGUAAGAAGUCAGUCAGGCCAGUAAGGCCAUCAUCCAAGUGAGAAGCUUUUCCUUUUCACUUUGCUAGUAGUUUUUGCUUUUCAAAAAGCAGACAGAUAUCGCAUCUCUGAUUCUUCUUCUUCUUCUGCUCACCCCUUCUCACUUGUUUCCAUCAUCCCUUCUUUCUCUCUGUCUUUCUCUUUCUUUCUUUCUCUCUCUCUUUCUCUCUCCCACAGAGAACUCAGGCUGCUAACUCUGCAUUGAAGAAUAAACUAACAUGUGCCAUUUCUGAGACCAAUAUUCUCUCUGCAUUGUCCAAGUUUGACUUGUAAGUACCACUCUUCUACUUCUCUACCCAUUUUUCUUGGCUGAAUUUCAUCUGGGAUGUGAUUUUUUUUUGGUUUGUUUGGUGGAGAAAUUCAUCAGGGCUGGUGGGCUGUCAAGCAUUUCUCUGUUUUUCUUUAUGCAUUUUUCCCUCAAUUCUUUGGAGGGCCUGCUUGAAAUUCUACACUUGGUUCAAUUUAAGUUAUUUUUGGAAUUUAUUUUUCUUUUUUUUUUGGGUUUUCUUGCUUGAGUUAUGAAGCAUGGGAUCUUCUUUCCUCAAUUGUGGUUUUGACUUAUGCUUGCUUCACAGAGUCUCAAUUCUUCACAGAAAGUCUCUCUGUUUACAUGUGUCUAUUCUGGUAUCUUUGUUAUCCAUAAAAAUUUUGCUGAUCAAUACUAGAAUUAGUUUGUGAGUCUAUGCUUGGAAAUGCAGAAUAGAAAAGGUAAAAUUGCUACUACAAGUUAGCAUUUCCUUGAGAGUAUUGGAGAAAAGUAUUUCUUUUUUUAUGCCACUUAUUAUUCUUUAACAAGUACUAUGUACUUUCAUGUUCCCUUUCUUUAUUCUUUUUUCCCCUUGUGAUGGUUUUACUUAGGGGAGUUAGAAGGUGUUGUUCUUUUUUUACCUUUACCUUUACUUUUUUUCUAUAUUUUUUUCAAAGAAUUGUUUUAUCCUUCGAACUUUUUGUUAUUCUUCUGUGUGAAGUCCUUCAAAUUCAUAGGUUUGGUUGUCCUCUCUUAAAAUUUAGUAGGAAUUAACAUGCAUCACUAAGAUUAUUCCUUUUUUCCUGUUUCUUAUCUGGGUCCUCAGAUGGUUAAAUUGGUUGACUGUUGUUCAGUGAUCAGUGAUUUCUCAAAUUCUGCUCUAACAUUUGGUAAACAAGGAUGAGGGUUUGGUAGUAAAUAGAGAAUAUAUGUACAUCUCUGUGACUCAGUUUUUAAUUUAUCAUAAAAUUGACGUAAAGAUGAAAAGGCAAUUGCCUUGUUAUUUACUGUUUGUUGUUUAUGUAAAUUUAGCCUACUCAUUAUCUAAUUUUCCUUAUCUUUGUUCUCUUCAGCUUCCUUUUUGAUGAAAUUGAUUUGUGUUAUGCUUGUCCAGAACAGGACACUGGAAACAUGACGAGGAUAAGUCCAGAAUUUGGAGGCGAAGUGGAAAUGCAGACAAUUCGGUCACUGUCAGCUGACGUGAGCUUUGCUUGUGAUCAAUUUCCCAAAUACAAAUUAGGCCCUGAUAAUCAAGUUUUGGAGGAGAUAGAGGAGAAUGCCAAAGGCCCACCCUUGAAGGAGGUUAUCUUGCAAGAAACUACAGAGCUAACAGAGCAGCACAAGCGUCUGUCUGUAAGAGACCUGGCUAGCAAAUUUGACAAGAAUUUGUCUGCCGCUGCUAAGUUGUCCAAUGAGGUUGUAAAUUUUUCCUUUUAGAGUUUGAAUUGCUUUCUCCUGCUUUGUUCAUUCCAAUGGGAAUAUGAGAUGCUAGAAAAAGUCAUAUGAUUGCUUCUUCUUCACAAACAUGAAAAACAAAAGGAUAAAGAUUAAAGACUUAAUUACAUGAUGUAAUUAUAGAUAAACCACCAAUUUUUCCCUAGUUGAUUUUUUGUCUCAGCUCCUUACUCCUGGAAAGAACCUAUGCAUCUGAUGAGAAACAUUCUUUCAGUUGAUACAUGUUCUAACCUUUUUGUGGAACCAGGCUAAACUUCGAGAAAUCGCUUCGUUAGAGGGACAUGUUCUUCUGAAGAAGCUUAGGGAUGCAUUGGAAUUUUUGAAAGGCAGAAUGGUUGGUCGAAACAAGGAAGACGUGGAAAAAGCAAUUUCAAUUGUCAGUAUUUUACUAAUUGAAAAUAUAAAUGUUUUCUUGUUAGAAACUUAGUUUGACUCGAAGUGUUUCUGUCAGUUGUGUCACAUAUGCAAAGAAAAUCAGUGCAAUAAAAAAAAUCAUAAAACAGAUACCUAUUAUCGGUUUUCAACUUUUGCAGGUGGAAGCUUUGGCAGUUAAGUUAACACAAAAGGAAGGGGAGUUAAUACAGGAGAAAUUUGAAGUGAAAAAGUUACUAAACUUUCUCAAACAGGUAUGGUAAUCAGUGUCAAUGUACAAAAAUAUAUUGCUGCAAGCUAUAUUAAAUCAAGAUCAAUUAUGUAUUCUAGCUAUUUUGUUGGUGAAUCCCUUUUCUUGGUACUUUUGUGACAUAUUUGAUACUCUCGUAAUUAUGAGAGGGUCCUUUCGGCCUGUUAUUUAAAUUUUACUUACUAUGAUCUUAACAUCUGGAUGUUUUAUUUUCAUUUUUGCAUGUCAACAUUGUCUCAAUCAAUGCUCCUUUUCUGUUUUUUUUUGGUCUGUCCUGCAUUUGCUGUAAAAUAUUAAACCUUGUUUCUUUAUUUCAGGCUUCAGAAGAUGCUAAAAAGUUGGUUAAUCAAGAAAGAUCUUUUGCAUGUGCUGAAAUUGAGAGUGCUAGGGCAGUUGUCCAAAGAAUUGGAGAGGCCCUUGAGGAACAAGAGCGUACUUGCCAAACUUCUGGGAAACAGGUACUUCAGGCAUCUUUGUCGUUUUGCUGUGUUUUAAUUGAAUUUAAAAAGAAUAAUCAAGUUUAGGAUUACAAAAGAAUUAACUAUCUACAACGUGGCUACUGCUUUUACUUGAAUAUGCUGUUUCACUUUGUAUCUUCUUCUGUUUACUUUGACCUACUGAUCCAUGGUCCAAAGAUGGAUUAUCUUUGGAUUUUCCACUAUGAAACAUUGGAGUCAUAAUAUUUUUGUUAUUACAUAAUUCUUCAGAUCUACAGAAAAUGGGCUUGUUGUUUUAGAAAUCUGUCCAAGUUUAAACUAAGUCAAUUAUUUUGCAGCCUAUACCACAGGAUAUCUAUUAACAUUUUAUGAGUUUUACAAAGAAAUCAUGUCAAUAUCGAGGCUGAUGAUCAAGAUAUCUUUUUGCUACCCAAUGUCUGUGAGUUUGGAAAUUUUCUACUCUUACCCACUUUCACCAAAAAGGUCCAAACCAGUCAUUCUCAUUCAUAGUGUUAUAGGAACUGUAAGGACCAUUUUUUUCCUAGUUUUCUUUUCACUAGCAUGACAGAAGGUUAAUUAGGUGCAAUACACCAGAAUUAUGUAUUUUCAGUCCUCCUGGAUCACCACAUUUACUUUGAAAUUAACAGUUGUGUCGAAGUAAUUGUAUGGGUUAAUGUUUCUUUUAAGGUGAUAAUCUUGCUUAUUGCCAAAUCAUAGUAACAUAAUUGGUAAUAUGCAUUCAGAUUUUUAAUUCCUAGCCAUGAAGAGCCAAAAUUAUUCUUUCAAUGUCAAUUGUACAAGAACUUACAAUUUUGUUUGGCUGUUAGGAAAUGGAGGAACUGAUGGAGGAGGUCCAAGAAGCUAGAAGAAUUAAACUAAAGCACCAGCCGAGCAAGGUUUGUUACUAUUUUGUUCUGAUAUGCUUUUCUACAUGGUCUUGUGGCAUUUUUUAAUUAUAUAUCUGAUUUUUCAUGCAUUUUAUUCUUUGAGCUACCUGUUCUCCUUCAAGAUUGACAAGUUUGGUUGCAGCAUAUUUCUAUGAUAUAAUAGUUAGCUGCUCAAGUCAUUAAAAGAAAAUAGUCCCGAAGUCCCAUUAAUGUUGUGAGACUAGCUAUUUUUGGUGUCCCAUUGAAAUCUUACUUUCUGAGAAUGUCAAAGUUUAUCAACUUUCCAACCUUGCCCUUAGUAAGUAGCUUAGCAAUUCAAACUUGUCCCAAUUUUUAAACACAAUAGUGAAGUGAGAUAAAGAUACAAAGUGAAAAGAAUUUCUGAAUGCCUAAGACAUUGUGCCCACCUGCUGAAGUGACAACCUUAAUCUCACCUUAGUAGUGAGGGAGUAGCUGUUUGGAUGCAGUAAGCACAAUAAUGUAUUUUGGACUUAUGUAAAUAUCUCAUCUAUAUCUGAUGGAAGAACAGAAUGAGUUUUUGGAGCAAAAUAAUUUGAGAUCUAGCUUAAUAGUGGUCCAUAAAUAUGCUCUUUAGGGCAGCUUUAGUUGCAGCUUCGAAGCCUAGGUAGCCAUUUCCUUGCUCUUUCAAUGAGGGAGGCAAGCUAAACAAGGCCUACUUAACUGCAAAAGGUGAGCUGUGAAUCCUGUCCCAUCGGCUAACCUGAUUUGUGAGAGUUGUUUUAUGGACUUUAACCAUAGGUCUUAGUUUCCAGCUGAUAUUACUGAUUUUGUCAACAUAAUAUGACAGCGAAUUCUUGUGUAUAGAUGGCUGAGCUUCAGGUGAUGAUCAACUAGGCAAAGUAACUCUAUUCAUGAUGUGCUUAAUUUUUCUUUAUUCGUUGUUUCUUAGAUUAUGCUCUUUAUCAUGAUUUUUGUUUCUAAGUUUGAAAUGUUGGAAAGUUUCCUGUUCUGAAGGUAAAUUAUCUAUAAAUAGUAAUUGUGUUCUAUCAAUUUUGUAGGUGAUGGACAUGGAAUAUGAAGUCCGAGCACUAAGAAUUGAAAUCAGAGAGAAGUCCUCAAUUUCAUUUAACCUUCAAAAAGAGGUCAACUAGAAUUUCUGGCUUCUUUUAUGCUUUUUUCUCUUACAAAUUGAACUGCAAUUCUCUUCAUUCAAUUUUCUUGUGAGUUGUGUCACCAUAUGCUUGUCCCAUGAAAUGUUAUGAAAAUUUUCAUUGUUUGAAGGCAAACUCAGGAGAUAUCUAAUUAUACUUCUACUUGUUAAGCUGACUGGAACUAGUUUCCACAACUUAUCAUUGGAGCCACUUAUUUGCUGGAUAUAUCCUGUUCCAACUUCUGUUUCACCCAUAAAUACCUAUUCUGUUCCUCUUUACUCUAUUUUGCUUGGUCCAAUUUCAGCUCAUGUUCGGUAAUUCAAGCCACUCAUCAGCUUAUAUAAUGUUAUAGUCUAUUGUCCAGGCACGCUGUGAUGAAAAUGCCUCAGGAAGAAUAGGUUUUUAGAUGUUUAUCACAUUUAAUGGUGUCCCAUCAUGAGAUGUUUCGGGCUGUGUAGUCAACUAUCAAUUCCUCUUGUUCAAGUUCAUCUGGCUCAGAAAGGAUAUCUCAACACCUAUAUUUCUAUUGUGAAUUUUUGUUGAAUGAAAAAAAAAAAGACUGUUCAACCACUACCUACUAUAACCAUAUUGAACAUGAAAAUCUAAAGUGGGAAGCUCAAGAAUGAGACUA
rnacentral:lncRNA from 1 species